UACAAUAUACCGUGGCCGAAAUUGUGAU
rnacentral:piRNA from 1 species